rnacentral:rRNA from 1 species
UACGUAGGUGACCAGCGUUGUCCGGAUUUACUGGGCGUAAAGAGCGCGCAGGCGGUCGUUCAAGUCGAGUGUGAAAGCCCCCGGCUCAACUGGGGAGGGUCACUUGAUACUGAUCGACUCGAAGGCAGGAGAGGGAAGCGGAAUUCCCGGUGUAGUGGUGAAAUGCGUAGAUAUCGGGAGGAACACCAGUGGCGAAGGCGGCUUCCUGGCCUGUUCUUGACGCUGAGGCGCGAAAGCUAGGGGAGCGAACGGG